rnacentral:piRNA from 1 species
UACGUGUGUCGAGGGUUGUGA